rnacentral:misc_RNA from 1 species
CGGGGUGGUAUAUAUAUGACACGACCUGGAAAUCCAUGUUUACACUUACUCACUGCUGACCUACUAACGGGUUCUUAUCACCAAAUACGGCCGCUUACAGGUUAAUACAUCAUAUAGUACGCGGAGAAUUUGUAAUUUGAAGGGAAUACCUUAUCUGUUAGUUGGGACGUUCCCGGAUCCCAAGUUGAGACCGUCAAACAGCUGUCAACAUUCGGAAGACAUCGUCAAAACAACAGACUCGCGUGAGACGCCUUAUAACGAGGUGAAUAUCGCGUCGCUAUAUCCUGCUAUCUGGGUGACAGGGUCCGGAGUGGUGCAACAAUAACGGUUGUUUCAUGGACGUGACAGUGUGAAGUUUAUGCCAGUUGUGGUGACACUGUUCGUAGUCGUCAGCUGUGUUUCAAUUCGACAUGGGUACUGCUGAAGAGAAAACACCCCUUUUAAGUUCGGGGGCGCACGAGAACGUACAGUACAACGAGGAUGUCAAGUUCAAGCCUGGUGAUACCUCAAAGAAUAAGGGAGAUGAAGAGAAAAAUACAAAAUCAGCGACAUUUGGGGAAAUGUUCCAGUUUGCAACAUGCCUGGACGUUUUCUUCAUGUUUGUCGGUACGCUGUCGGCCAUGGUACACGGAGCUGGCUGGCCACUUCUCUCCAUUGUGUUCGGCGACAUGACCAAUGAUUUCAUCGGGACUGGUAAUGCCUCAAUGCCGGAUAUGAAUGGUACAGCCGGUAACUGGACACCACCUCCAAUUGACUUUGAAGAACAGAUGACCCAGUAUUCACUGUACUAUAUUUAUAUUGGGGUAGGAGUCAUGGUCGCUUCAUACAUGCAGGUGUCAUUCUGGACCAUGUCCUGUGAACGUCAGACAUACAAGCUGAGAAAGGCGUUCUUCAAAGCUGUUCUGAGACAAGAGAUUGGCUGGUUUGAUGAACAUCAAAGUGGCGAAUUGACCACACGACUUGCAGAUGAUCUGGAGAAAUUAAAAGAAGGUAUUGGAGAUAAGUUCAGCUUGUGCGUUCAGUUUUUCUCUGCGUUCAUCUCGGGAUUUGUCAUCGGCUUUAUAUAUGGAUGGAAGUUGACGCUGGUGAUGAUGUCACUGACUCCUGUGCUUGCCAUAGCAGGUGCAUUCAUGUCCAAGGCCAUUGCAUCAUUUUCAAAACGAGAACAAGAGAAGUAUGCCGAGGCAGGGAGCGUGGCAGAGGAAGUGCUGUCCUGUGUCCGAACGGUCAUCUCAUUUAAUGGACAAAAGCAAGAGAUAACAAGGUACUCCAGUGCCCUUGAGGACAGUAAAAAGCUUGGUAUACGGAAGGCUGGCAUCACUGGUGUUGGUAUGGGCAUCACGCUGUUUGUCAUGUUUUCAGCCUACGCUCUGGCAUUUUGGUUUGGCUCGACUCAGGUGGCAGAGUGGCAGCAAUCCAACAUGCAGGAGGGACUGUCUCCGGGCAUUGUCUUCACUGUGUUUUUCUGUGUCAUGAUUGGCUCCUUCUCCAUUGGCAACGCAACCCCACAUGCCAGUGCCAUAGCAACCGCCAAAGGAGCAGCUUCUGCUGUUGUAGAAAUCCUCAAGAAUGUACCGUCAAUCGAUGCCUCCGCUGAUGCUGGGAUUCGACUUCAGUCAGUCAAAGGGCUCAUGGAGUUCCGAAAUGUGGAGUUUUCCUACCCAACCAGGAAAGAAGUGAAGGUGAUGAAGAACUUCAACCUGACGGUUCAGCCCGGGCAGACCGUGGCCCUCGUUGGCGCCAGUGGGUGUGGCAAGUCUACCACAGUCAACCUCAUUCAGAGGUUCUAUGACCCAGAUUCAGGAAAUGUGUACCUGGAUAACACCAACUUGAAGGAACUGAACAUCCCCUGGCUCAGACAAAAUAUCGGCAUCGUGUCACAGGAACCAAUUCUGUUUGGCUGCACUAUCAGGGAGAAUAUUCUCCUCGGCAACCCUGAUGCAACUGAGGCAGACAUCAUGAAGGCAUCAAAGCAGGCUAACGCUCACGACUACAUCACCAAACUACCCCAGGGUUACGAUACCCUGGUUGGAGAGCGGGGAGCUCAGCUAUCUGGAGGACAGAAACAGAGGGUGGCCAUCGCCCGCGCCCUGGUCCGCGACCCCAAGAUCCUGCUGUUGGAUGAGGCCACCUCAGCUCUGGACUCUGCGAGUGAGGGCAUAGUGCAGGCGGCUCUAGACAAGGCCCGAGAAGGACGCACGACUAUCAUGGUUGCUCACCGACUAUCCACAAUCCAGAACGCCGACGUCAUCUACGUGCUGCAGGACGGCGAGAUCGUGGAACAGGGGAAACACUCCGAGCUGAUGUCCCACAACGGGCCGUACUACCAGCUGGUCACUCUGCAGACCAUCGCGGAGGAGGUCGAUGCUGAUGACAAGAAAGCAUCCGUUGAGAACGGCCAUGUCUCUGAUGGAGAACCCUUCAAACGUGUGGACUUUAAACGCCAGUCAUCGAAAGCCAAGACCCCUGCAGCAGACCACCAGGUUUCCCGUCAGGUGUCAAGUCAAACAUCCAAACCAAAAACAAAGGAAGAAGAGGCAGAGGAAGAGGAAGUCACCAAGCCUGGGUUUUGUCGAAUGAUGCAGGAGAAUUCACCUGAACUGCCUUUCAUCAUCAUGGGGUGUAUCGCUGCCUCCCUCAAUGGCUGCACUAUGCCACUGUUUGCCGUGUUCUUCAGUGAAAUUAUCAGGGUGUUCGGAGAGACAGGAGACCAGCUAAAGGAUGACGCUGUGUUCUGGAGCCUCAUGUUCCUGGCGCUAGGUGGCGCCAACUUCCUCACAAACUCCAUCCAGACCUAUUCAUUUGGCCAAUCAGGCGAGAGACUGACAAUGAGGCUGAGACUGAAGACAUUCAAGAACAUACUCCGACAGGAUGUGGCUUACUUCGAUGACCCCAAGCACUCGUCAGGUGCCUUGACCACAAGACUGGCCACAGAUGCGUCCAUGGUCAAAAAUGCGACAGGCAUUCGUCUAGCUACCAUGAUUCAGUCUCUCGUGGGUCUGGCUGCCGGUCUUGUCAUUGCCUUUAUCUUUGGCUGGAAAUUAGCUCUGGUUGUCCUGGGCGGUGUACCUGUCAUGGCUUUAGCAGGUGCUGCCCAGAUGAAGGCUGUCACUGGAAACCAGAAGCGGGACUCAGAACUUCUGGAGGAUGCUGGAAAGACUGCUGCUGAAGCCAUAGAGAAUGUCCGGACGGUGCAGUCACUUACCAGGGAGAAGCAUUUCUAUGACCAGUAUUGUGCUGACAUUCUCAAACCCUACAAGGAGAACAUGAAGCAGGCCCAUAUUUAUGGCAUCUCCUUUGGCUUCUCACAAGGCGUUGUGUUUUUGCUGUACGCCGGAGCGUUCCGGUUCGGGGCCUACCUCGUCUCCAUCGGCGACAUGGAAGCAAAUUCUGUGUACAGGGUCUUCUUCGCCAUAGCCUUCACUGGAAUGGCCGUUGGUCAAGCGUCCUCCUUCCUGCCCGACUACACAAAGGCCCGGCUGUCUGCCGGACUCAUCUUCAAGCUGCUUGACACCAUCCCCUUCAUCGACGUCUACAGCAACAAAGGCAUCGUCCAGAGUAACGUGAGUGGCGAGAUCACGUUAAAGAACGUCCAGUUCUCCUACCCCACGAGACCUGAUGUGCAAGUGUUGCGGGGUUUGAACAUCAACAUCAAGCCUGGAGAAACUGCAGCGCUUGUCGGAAUCAGCGGAUGUGGGAAGAGCACAGUUGUCUCCCUUCUUCAGAGAUAUUACGACACUUCUAGUGGGGAAAUUCUGAUUGACGGCACAAAUAUACGCGAGUUUAAUCUCGCCACGUUGCGGUCAUUCAUCAGUGUCGUGAGCCAGGAACCGAUUCUGUUUGACUGCAGUAUUCGGGAAAACAUAGCAUACGGCCUUGAGCGUGACGUCAGUAUGGCCGAGGUCAUUCAGGUUGCCAGGACAGCCAAUAUACACGAGUUUAUUUCUAACCUACCCCAGGGGUACGAGACGACCGUUGGAGAGAAAGGCACCCAGUUGUCGGGGGGACAGAAACAGCGAGUCGCCAUCGCCCGGGCACUGGUUCGCAACCCACGAAUCCUCCUCCUGGAUGAAGCGACGUCUGCCUUGGACACAGAGAGUGAACAGGUUGUGCAGUCGGCGUUAGACAACGCAAGUGAAGGCAGGACUUGCCUCGUCAUUGCUCACCGACUUUCCACCAUACAAAACGCAGAUGUUAUUUUCAUGGUUGAGAAUGGAUCCAUCAUUGAACAGGGAUCACAUCAAGAACUAUUAGCAAAGAAAGGUGCUUACGCGACCUUAGUGGAAGGCCAGCAGUUCAACAAGUCUUGAAGAAAGUUUAUUCUAGAAUCCUUUGACAUUUAAAAAAAAAAAAAAAAAUUUGAAUUACUGUUUUUGAUUUCUGGAAAAUAUUAUAAAUAGAUCCCAGAUGAGCUUCUUACCAAUAAACUUGUUUAUUUUAUAUUUUUUUAGUACUGCUUCUUGUAACUAGUACAGAAGGACUCUUGAAUGUGUAUGUGAAAAAUGAGUCAUUUUUAUCAUGUUUAUACAUCAGAAUUUCUGAAAAAGACAAAAUGUGAUGUCCUGAUACCAACUGAUGUGUGAUAAGACCUGUUUCUUGUAUCUUGAUGUUAUUUCCAAUCAACUUAUGAUUGAUUUGUUUUAUGUGAUGCUAAGUGUUCAUGAAUAUAUAUUUUACCUGACACUUUGUGUUCUGCUUCUAUGUUUUAACAACCUUGGUUUUGAUAAUAUGACAUUGUUUCUAGUAUUUCUGCAACAUAUAAACAUGCAUAUGUUUAAAUACACAAAAAUGGUAUUUGAUAGUGUGCAUUUGUUUAAAAUAAAUCUUGAUAUGCGUGAAUGUGAAAGAUAAUGAAAUUAAUGCUUCACCCCAAGAAAGCUGAAAGCCUUCUUGUUACUUGCGGUUUAUUCAGUACAUUUACAACAAUUAUGUUAUUAUGGUAAUAUUUGAAUACAAUUUCCUAUCUGAAACUGAUUCUACAAAAACCACUAAACUUGGCAUGCUACUCUGGCAUAGUGUUGUCAUCAGCUUUUGUCACUCGACUUCGAUUUUAUUUUAUGUUGCCAUAUUAGACUCAGGUAUUUGAAUUUCCUUCUUGUUCAUGAUACGUUUCCCAGCAACUAGUGGUGUUCUGAAUUAUUGAAAUAAUUGAAGAUGGAUCCGAGUGGUCCAGUCGACCAAGCAAUCAUAGGCAAUUUUCCAUGACUGUACACAAACGAUGUUCUGUAUGGUUUAUUCACUACUUACUACUAAUAAAGACAGAGCGAAGCCAGUGUCUUUCCUAAAAAAAUACUGAAUAAAUAAGUCUUGUGUCGGAAGGGGUGAUAAUUGGGAUUGUUCACUGGCCAAUGUAUUAGCAAAUAUCGCUGUGGUCGCUUAUUAGAGCGGGGCGCUUAUUACGUUGAAUACGGUAGGUAUUAAUAAUAUUUGGUUAGUGAAUCUAACACAGUUAAGUAUGUAUUUUAUUGCGCAAGGGGCAAUUAUGAACAAAUGUACCAAAUUCAUACUUGAGUGAGUGUUGUGAGUUUGGUUUUAUGCCGCUUGUAGCAAGAUUCCAGCAAUAUCGCGGAAGGGGGACACCAGAAAUGGGCUUCACACAUUGUACCCAUGUCGGGAAUCGAACCCGGGUCUUUGGCAUGAGGAGCAAAUGCUUAAACCACGAUGCUACCCGACCGCCCCUCAUACUUUAUUACAGACAUUAAGGGAAAUCACUCAUCUUAACAGUUCUCCAUAGAAGUAUGACACAAUUUAUCUUUUGAUCAUAAUAUAACCACACAUUCAGCUGUACAAAACCAUUUUAAUUUCUGUAUGUUAGUAUGCUAAAUGCAGCAAAUGAAUAAAAACAUUCUUUUUCCUAUUUAUGAAAUGAGGUUACAAUGCAAUGUCAUGUGUCUAAAACUUAUUGUGGUGCUACUCUCAUUAACUUUUGUCCUUAGCAAUACUUGACCUGUUUUGGAAUGGAAAAACUCACAUAUUCUCCAUAUAUUUUGGAGAGUUUUGACUUUUAGUCUACGAUUCUCACCUGCAUAUCGGUUUAUUUUGGCGACAGACUUAAAAAAUACCUCAUACAUGACAGUUGCACAGCAAAACCAACUUCACACCAUUAGAGAUCCUUCAGUCAAAGUGUUUGAGAGGAAAUGGAGGUAUAUUAUUUUACUGCAUGAUCUCAUUAACAUGUGAUACCAGAGGGAUUGCCUGCAUUGUCAAUACAGUGUUACAAAGCUUUUUAUCAUACCUGCAUGUCAGACUGUUGAGAUGCGAUUGGUUCAUGUGAUCUUGAUUAAGUAUUAUGUACCCCGCCUGGGAGAGAAAUAUAUUUCUGAAUUGGAGAAACAUGCUGCAGAUGGAUUUCUGAGCUGAUAAUAAAUCCCUUAUACCCUGCUACAAAGCAAUAAACCACAUGCUGUUUUCUGGUGAAUGAAAGUCACGUGACACAGCACCAAUUAACCUCAGCUCAAUCAAACAGCUGUUUACUAUGAAUAUUCAAUUUGUCUUAAUUCUUUUCAGAUAGUGGAUUGAAACAUAUUGGCAAGACAAUUGGUUGUAAAUACUGCUACAAUUAUCUGAAAUGCAGGCUUGUUGCCCUUAGAAUAGCAGUUUGCUUGUAAAUAGACGGCCAUAUUAGCUCCAUAAUAUAACUGAACAUGUCUGUGUGAUAUAUUUUUUUGAAUAUAUAGUCCUGUCUCAUUUUAUUUAACUUGAUAAAAUGAGACCCUUUUAAGCCAUGGAUCACAUAUGUGCAUCUUAUAUUGAGAAUAAACCUAAUGUACAGUUA